GACAGAGGGUGCGAACGUUGCUCGGAAUUACUGGGCGUAAAGCGCGUGUAGGCGGGUGAUCAAGUCAGGGGUGAAAUCCCUCGGCUUAACCGGGGAACUGCAUCUGAUACUGGAUGGCUUGAGUUCGGGAGAGGGAUGCGGAAUUCCAGGUGUAGCGGUGAAAUGCGUAGAUAUCUGGAGGAACACCGGUGGCGAAGGCGGCAUCCUGGACCGACACUGACGCUGAGGAGCGAAAGCCAGGGGAGCAAACGGG
rnacentral:rRNA from 1 species